ensembl:lncRNA
GUCCAUAGGGUCGCAAAGAGUCAGACACGACUGAAAUGACCUAGCACGCAGCAGGAGUAGAGUUUAAACAUAAGGCUGCAAAGGAAUAAGGGUUGUUUUCUGUUUACACUGGUCCAAUUUUAAUAGUUUAGUAAACUAUUCACACGCAUUCAUCCAGUACCUCCUCUUCCAAAUGUCCCUUUAGAAUGAAUCUAUUUGCAUAUUCAAAGGAAAUGGAAUCUUAAACUAGUUAAUCAAGAAUCAUCUGAUCAGCACCAGUUGGGUAAACUGCUUGACAGACUCCUGCCAUCAACUGAAGGAAAAAAUUGUUCAUCCAUUCCAGUGUUAAUGGACGUUUGGGUUGUUUCCCAAAAUUCUCCAAGCCAGGCUUCAGCAAUAUGUGAACCGUGAACUUCCUGAUGUUCAAGCUGGUUUUAGAAAAGGCAGAGGAACCAGAGAUCAAAUUGCCAACAUCCGCUGGAUCAUGGAAAAAGCAAGAGAGUUCCAGAAAAACAUCUAUUUCUGCUUUAUUGACUAUGCCAAAGCCUUUGACUCUGUGGAUCACAAUAAACUGUGGAAAAUUCUGAAAGAGAUGGAAUACCAGACCACCUGAUCUGCCUCUUGAGAAAUCUGUAUGCAGGUCAGAAAGCAACAGUUAGAACUGGACAUGGAACAACAGACUGGUUCCAAAUAGGAAAAGGAGUACGUCAAGGCUGUAUAUUGUCACCCUGCUUAUUUAACUUCUAUGCAGAGUACAUCAUGAGAAACUCUGGACUGGAAUAAGCACAAGCUGGAAUCAAGACUGCUGGGAGA